ensembl:lncRNA
GUCUUCCUCACGCAGUCCAGUCUGUUUCCUCCUGGGAAGGCUGGGGACAUGGCCAGUCUUGGCUCCAGCUGGGACACAGCAGGCGAGGUGUUGUCACAUCCCAGGCGGCCCAACCAGAGGGGGACGCAGGAGACCAGAAGAGCCUGAGGCAGAGACAGUGGGAAGGAAAAGCAGGGUGUGUGGACCGUUCCCGUAGGGAGGCUGGAAGCGGUCUGGGAAAAGAAGACACAUCAAUGGGAGGCUGAGGACACCUCGAGCCCGGCUCCUAGAGGGGCCACAGAGGCCUCGUCUGGAGUGCACAGGUGGGGGACAGGAGGCCUGAUGUCGCAGGCUGCCCUCUGACUGUCUUGCUCUCUGCCGUCGUCUGCCUUUGGAAUGCACCCUUCCGGGGUGACACUUGCUUUGUUUUGAGAUGAGGCAGCUGAAAGGUGAUUUACCAGGCAGCUCAUGGGCACCUCAGGCUGCUGUCAGGACCACACUGCUCUCUAAGCUCGGUUGCCCUGGCCAAGGUCAGGGAGCCCUAGGGGAGGUCUUUGGGCCACCCUUCAGCUCACGAGCUGUGGGCUGAGAGUCUGGAGACCUGAAGCCUAGCCCAGGUCCUGCCACUAAACUCCCUGGGUGACACGCAUUGAGACUUGGCACUUCUUUCCUCCCCAGUCCCCACCUCACCUAAGAAAUCCAGAAUGUCUCGUCCCACUUAUAAUUCUGAGAUUUUAAACUCCAUCACGUAACCGAGGGCAAACUGAUUUCCAGGCACAUGAUGGAAAGCGAGAGAGCCCUCUCCUCUUACCUAGGGAGAUCCGUGUGGGUUGAAUUCUCAUUGAGCAUCUCUACCUGCCGGCAGGCAGUUAUCAUAACUAGUAACUCGGGCUGUCAUUGGUCUGGUGUCCACAUAAGGAUGGUUCUUUGAUGGAUCACCAGUGAUAUAGGUGCUCUGAUGGUAGGAGUGAAUACAUAGCGGAGCCUGGCUGUCAGCAGCAUGUGUGUGGGUUACCUGCUCUCACUGUUGUGACUAUUAUGAGAUGGGUCCCGUAGACACGGCUUCCUGCUAAGAAGGAGUGGAACUGCUGCAUCUUUUCUCAGGGCUCCAAGCACAAGCCAGCAGCCUGACUGACCCCUUGGCCUGGAGUCCUUGGCUCUGUGUUCUUUGCCUCAGCUCAACCUCAGAAUCCGUCACCGGCGGACCAGGUGAGAAUGAGAUGUGUUAGACGGUCACCGUGCUCUUCGUGGAAGUGUGUGGUGACUGUCAAGCGUCCUCCUGGUACAGGAGGUUAUGAGCAAGCCUGUGCUUCUUCCUGGGUGCGCCAUAGACUCUGGGCUCUUUUGCACGUUGGAGCCUUUCAGAGCAUCUCAAGGUUGGAGAUCAGCUACCUGACCUGCACCACUCCUUCCUCCAACACGUGAAGGAAAACAAGCCCCAGAGAAGUGAAGACAGUUUGUCCACAGCAAGGUAUAAAACCCAUCUGCUUUGGAGGCAUAUUUUAUGGGACACAUUUUCAUCUCCUACACCAUCGCUGGAGUUUUGAGAACCGACUGGUGAGAUGCUCAGGACCAGCAGGUGCUCCAGACCCAUGAGCGGAGGACACUGCUCACAACAGACUUGCCCUUGAGGCCAGAGACUGAUCCAGCCAUUGAGUUCUUACCCACUUCCUCCCUGGACAAGUGGCAGUGCCAGGGAGAGGAUUUCCAUCGGGCUGACCAGGGAGGGGACAGGAAGUAACAUCGUACAGAGGUCCUGAUGUCAAUCAGACAUGUAGGAGGUUUUUCAUCUACAUUUUCUUCCUUCUUUCCUUUCUUCCUUCCAUCCUUCCUUUUACUGAAGUAUAGUUGAUUUACCAUGUUGUGUUAGUUUAAGUGUACAGCACAUAGAGUUAAA